AACGAACGUUGGCGGCGCGCCUAACACAUGCAAGUCGCACGAGAAAGGGAGCAAUCCCCGGUACAGUGGCGCACGGGUGAGUAACACGUGGAUAAUCUUCCCUUGGGCGGGGGAUAACCUUCCGAAAGGAGGGCUAAUACCGUAUAAGACCACAGCGAGUUCGCUCGCAGGGGUCAAAGCUGGCCUCUUCAUGAAAGCUAGCACCUAAGGAUGAGUCCGCGUCCCAUCAGCUAGUUGGUAGUGUAAAAGACUACCAAGGCGAAGACGGGUAGCUGGUCUGAGAGGAUGAUCAGCCACACUGGAACUGAGACACGGUCCAGACUCCUACGGGAGGCAGCAGUGGGGAAUCUUGCGCAAUGGGCGAAAGCCUGACGCAGCGACGCCGCGUGGGUGAUGAAGGCCCUCGGGUUGUAAAGCCCUGUGGGGAGGGACGAAUAAGCCGUGGCUAAUAUCCACGAUGAUGACGGUACCUCCUUAGCAAGCACCGGCUAACUCUGUGCCAGCCGCCGCAGUAA
rnacentral:rRNA from 1 species